rnacentral:lncRNA from 1 species
UCAAAUCGGACGGAUUAGGAGGCGGCUUAAUUUUGGACAAAAUCAUCCGGAUGAUUUGUAGCACCCCCUCAAAGGAAAACGAUAGUCAAAUCCAACCAAUUCUGGACAAAUUGAUGUGUGUAAAUCUGCUACCCAAUCAGAGCACCACCGAGAAAAUUGAAGUCUUCCAGAAUCUGCUACCCGGCUAGAGCACCACCAACAAAAUCAAAGACUACAGAACAACUCUACUAUCCGACUAGAGCACCACCAACAAAAUCAAAGAUUGUCGGCUCUGUGAUGCUAGAAAAAUAUAAAAAACGCCAAAACUCCGAUGUGACUGCAUCUCAAUGCCAGAUGAAGUCAGCAAAGGUCUUCUGAGCUGCCUCUCACCUGAAUCAGGUUCGUAAAUAUUAUGAAUUAAUUAAUUCAUUUAUCAGAAUAAAAGCUGCAUAGAUAGAUGACUAGCAAUUUCAGAAUCCUUUCACAGCCAAAAAAACUAUGGUGUUGAAGAAGCUUAUUGCUUACGAACAACAGGACAAACUAUAACAUUCAAGUGAAUGUAUAGAGAAUGUGGGAUUACCUCAAUCAUACAACAGAUCAACAAUUUAAAACAAGCAAAUGCUAAUUAUAUUUUGUUUUCAUUGACAUGGCAAAACAGUUCAUGUUACUAUGAACAUUAAAAGUAUCAUGCUAUCAUCUGGAGGAAUUUGAUACACUUAUAUUGGUGAAAGAAAAUGAUAAUUAUAUUUAUGCAUAUAACACUUUUUUAUGUGUAUGCAUAUAAUACUUUUAAAAAGGUCAAAGUAAUUCAUGUGCACACCUAAGUAAUUCAAUCCACUAGGAAAUAAUCAUUCAUGUACAGACAUAUUUCAGUAUGGGCACAUACAAAGCUAAGUCCUCUAUACAAAUUAGAAAAACAUGGGCAUGUCCUUUUGAGAAAAAGAGAUACGCCUAAGUAAUUCAAUCUACUAGGAGUACAAAAUCAGAUCAUCUAGACAAUUUAAAAAUAAUGGGCAGGUCCUUCGGAGAAAAACAAAAGGCCCGCCAAAAUCAUUCAUUUUACUGGGAAAUAUACUAAAAAGUCUAGCCGCCAAACACAUCCCAUGUGUACAUCAGUACAUGCAUGCACUUGCAUCUAAUUCUAAUGGACAGACAUGUGGACUUAACGGCCAGAAAAAUAGACAUUGAUAUGAGGCACAGUACAAAAAAACAAGCGCCAACCUAUCUAAACGCCGGAUAUAUUUGAGCCUCUACAAACUAUAAAUCCAAAAUAAAUCAUUUAUGGUAAAAUCUAUAUAUCGAUUGAUCAAGAUUUCGAGUCAUGCAAGAUAAAUAUAAAUAGCUUCUAUUAUUUAUCCAAAUGAAUCGUGACUCAUGUUUAUUCACCAAUAUUACAUAACAAUUUUACUUGACUAACUCCAUAUAUGCAGGAGAAGAAAGUUUACCAAAAUUGAUCGAGAUGGAUAGCAAUAAACAAGGAGCGUAGAAAUAUUUUACAGAAGGAUAACAUUACAACUUACUGGAAUGAGGCACAAAAACCAGACACAUCAGGUGAUGGAUCAAACUUCUUCUAAGAUAUGAUAUCACCACUUCUUGAGGAAAACGACACUCUCAGACCUGCAGUGCUUUUCAGAUAAUUGAGUCAUAUCAGUUAUAAUGGAAUCAUAUCUGAAUUAUUUGUCUGUCAACUUCUUCGGGAUGCUAACUUUAAUUUUUUGGGUGAUUAUUUUAGGAUUUUGUUUUUCACAACAAUAGGUAUAAUAAUCUAUUACACGAAAAUAUUCAAAUGAUCAAAUUCCGGUUGACACAAACUAACUACGUACAAAGGGAAAUGGAAGGUGUUACUGCAAAAAUUGUGGUACAUAUCUACACCUGGUAAGCAUAUUCUGCUAAUUUGAUUGAGAACUUCCAUAUUAUAUUUACUCUGCACUAAUAACAGUGGUAUGUAAAAAUUGCUAAGCUUAUUGGAUGGCAAGAUCUGAUUAGCACCAAGCAAACCAUUUAUGUUUACUGAGAUAGAGAAAUAAUGCUUGACAUCGAUCAGUAUAAGGGGGACAGUUAUUAGAUAAGGGUCAAAAGUUAGCACUAUGAGAAGCAUGUCAAAUUGUAAUUAUUCGAAAUACAUUCAUACAUGCACUUUUGUGAGUUUAAUGUUCUUGGAAAUAACCCUUCUAUUCUACAGCCUUUUCGAUUGAAGAGAACAAUGAGAAAAGCUUUAGUAUUAGAGGCAUCUCCUACAACACAUGUGAAUUUGUCGAAAAACAACACAUGUGAAAAAUCUAAAAUCUAUUGCAUAUCAAUUAACAUAUAUGGGCCAAAUUCAGUUAAUACAUGCAAGCAUUCUUCCUUUGUCUUAAAUAGAGCUACUGUUAAUAUAAAUUGCUAAUAUAUGGUGGGGAAGACUACAAUAGAAACUGGCCAUAGGAUAGAAGAAUAGAAAAAUGAAGUUAGAGCCGUUGGAUCCUUAAUGGAUGCUUCAGAUUUGAAAUGUCCUUAAUGGAUCCUUAAUGGCAAGUCACAUAACUAUAAAUUAUAUCCUAGCUCUCAGCCAGUGCCACAAAUAGGAGAGCAACGCCACUCAGGGAAACGAAACCGCUUUGCCUCGCAGCCUUGCUGCUUUGGGGCGCAAAAUCCUUCUCUCCAACAGAAAAUUUCUACACUGGAAAAGACAGAGAAAGGUCAGGAGACCAUAAGCAUAAAAUCUUCAUAAAGAAUCCAUGCCAUUGCUGGAGGUUAGUAGACCAAGAUCUGGGAAGGAAGGAGAAGGAGAGGAAGAGGAGUGAUUACCUGGAGGAGUGCCACCGCUCAGGUUCAAGUGGACCCAAAUCCAUGUCCAUCAAAUCGACGACGGCAGCGAGCAGCAGGCACGUGUGGUCGAGCUAGACGACGUGCCGCCGCCGGGAGCUUGCAGGCUGCAGCCACCGCACUCUGCCCCAAAUCCCACUUCCCCCCGUCCUCUUUUCUUGGCAGGAUCUAGCAACGAAUUGUGGACGAAUCCUUAGAUUAGGUAAGGAACAGAGAGAAAGGAAUGGGAG